GGCUGUUACACCUUGUCGAUGUCCUGCCUUAUCUGAUCUCUGAAGCUAAGCAGGGCCGGGCCUGGUUAGUUCUUAGAAGGGAGACCUCUGGGAAUACAGGUGCAACAGUGC
rnacentral:rRNA from 1 species